rnacentral:tRNA from 1 species
GCCUGGCUGGUUUGAUUGGUGGAGCAUCCGACUCUUGAUCUCAGGGUUGUGGGUUCAAACCCCAUGCUGGGUG